GAUCAUGGCUCAGGAUGAACGCUAGCGACAGGCCUAACACAUGCAAGUCGAGGGGCAACAUGGUAUCAGCUUGCUGAUACCGAUGGCGACCGGCGCACGGGUGAGUAACGCGUAUGUAAUCUACCUGUAACAGAGGGAUAACCCGGAGAAAUCCGGACUAAUACCUCAUAGCACAUAUUAUUCGCAUGAAUUUUAUGUUAAGAAGACUCGGUUACAGAUGAACAUGCG
rnacentral:rRNA from 1 species